UAUCCGCAGCAGGUCUCCAAGGGGAAGAGCCUCUAGUCGAUAGAAUAAUGUAGGUAAGGGAAGUCGGCAAAUUGGAUCCGUAACUUCGGGAUAAGGAUUGGCUCUGAGGAUCGGGGCGUGUCGGGCUUGGCGAGGAAGUGGGUCAUGGCUGACGUGCCGGGCCUGGGUGAGGUGAAGUGAGCCUAAUUCUUACGAGUUGGGUUUCAUGGAUCCGAGUUCGGUCCCGUGCCUUGGCCUCCCGCGGAACCGUCUUGCUGCGAGGCUCUGAGUUACUUUCGGGUGCUUGGAUGUCCUCUUCGGCCGCCAUUCAACGGUCAGCUCAGAACUGGCACGGACUAGGGGAAUCCGACUGUCUAAUUAAAACAAAGCAUUGCGAUGGCCCCAGCUGCUCAGUGCUCUGAAUGUCAAAGUGAAGAAAUUCAAGCAAGCGCGGGUAAACGGCGGGAGUAACUAUGACUCUCUUAAGGUACCCAAAUGCCUCGUCAUCUAAUUAGUGACGCG
rnacentral:lncRNA from 1 species